GACGAACGCUGGCGGCGUGCCUAAUACAUGCAAGUCGAACGAGAGCGACCGGUGCUUGCACUGGUCAAUCUAGUGGCGAACGGGUGAGUAACACGUGGGUAACCUGCCCAUCAGAGGGGGAUAACAUCCGGAAACGGAUGCUAAAACCGCAUAGGUCUUCGAGCCGCAUGGCUUGAAGAGGAAAAGAGGCGCAAGCUUCUGCUGAUGGAUGGACCCGCGGUGCAUUAGCUAGUUGGUGAGGUAACGGCUCACCAAGGCCGUGAUGCAUAGCCGACCUGAGAGGGUGAUCGGCCACAUUGGGACUGAGCCACGGCCCAAACUCCUACGGGAGGCAGCAGUAGGGAAUCUUCCGCAAUGGACGCAAGUCUGACGGAGCAACGCCGCGUGAGUGAAGAAGGUUUUCGGAUCGUAAAACUCUGUUGUUAGAGAAGAACAAGUGCUAGAGUAACUGUUAGCGCCUUGACGGUAUCUAACCAGAAAGCCACGGCUAACUACGUG
rnacentral:rRNA from 1 species